AACGAACGCUGGCGGCGUGCCUAAUACAUGCAAGUCGACCUUAGUGGCGAACGGGUGAGUAACACGUGCGUAACGUGCCCAUCAGAAGGGGAUAACACUUGGAAACAGGUGCUAAUACCGUAUACUGAUGGCUGGACCCGCGGUGCAUUAGCUAGUUGGUGAGGUAACGGCUCAUCAAGGCCACGAUGCAUAGCCGACCUGAGAGGGUGAUGCGCCACAUUGGGACUGAGACACGGCCCAGACUGCUACGGGAGGCAGCAGUAGGGAAUCUUCUGCAAUGGACGAAAGUCUGACCGAGCAACGCCGCAUGAGUGAAGAAGGGUUUCGGAUCGUAAAACUCUGUUGUUAGAGAAGCGGUAUCUAACCAGAAAGCAACGGCUAACUCCGUGCCAGCAGCCGCGGUAAUUC
rnacentral:rRNA from 1 species